AUUGAACGCUGGCGGCAUGCUUUACACAUGCAAGUCGAACGGUAACAGGCCGCAAGGUGCUGACGAGUGGCGAACGGGUGAGUAAUGCAUCGGAACGUGCCCAGUCGUGGGGGAUAACGCAGCGAAAGCUGUGCUAAUACCGCAUACGAUCUAUGGAUGAAAGCGGGGGACCGUAAGGCCUCGCGCGAUUGGAGCGGCCGAUGUCAGAUUAGGUAGUUGGUGGGGUAAAGGCUCACCAAGCCAACGAUCUGUAGCUGGUCUGAGAGGACGACCAGCCACACUGGGACUGGGACCCGGCCCAGACUCCUACGGGAGGCAGCAGUGGGGAAUUUUGGACACUGGGCGCAAGCCUGAUCCAGCAAUGCCGCGUGCAGGAAGAGGGCCUUCGGGUUGUAAACUGCUUUUGUACGGAACGAAAAGGUUUGGGUUAAUACCCUGGGCCGAUGACGGUACCGUAAGAAUAAGCACCGGCUAACUACGUGCCAGCAGCCGCCGUAA
rnacentral:rRNA from 1 species